CUUAGUUGCAGGUCCUGCUAGUUGCGGGAUGUUAACCCAUCCAUUGUUAACUGUGCUGUUUUGGCAACAUGCUGACUCCCACUAGGCUCCUAUAGAUAACAGCUCCCUGGAGCCUGGGUCACCAUGGUAAUGGGUGAGUGAGCUGUUUUUCAGGAAUUAGAACUCCUUGUCCACUCCAGGCCAGUUGAGACCACCAACUCAUCAACAGGGCCCAUGCAGAUGUCCAAUAGGCAACCUUUUGACAAUAAUAGGCUAAAAACUCCACCCUCAGAUCAUCCUAACGCCACCAUUUGGUGAACAUGGGUCCUGUGUAGAGGCGUGGAGUCCGACUACGCUUGCACAGAUCAUCAGUGACCUCACCUCCCCUCACCUCCAAUCACCUACCUCCACAUUUCAGACCACCUUGACCCCAUUCCAUAAAUAUCCCUGAGCCCCUGUUUUCGGGAAAGCGAGUGUGAGGCUCAUGCUUUUGCUUCCUCACAUGGCUGCCUUGUGAUUAAAUCCUCUCUCUGCUGCCAUCUCGUCGUCUCGGUGUUUGGGUUUCUGGGCGGCAGGCAAAAUCGAACCUGUUCAGUUACAGCUUCUCGGAGAAGGUGGCUGCGGAGGGAGGACGGUACAGCCUCGGGCCUCCAGGGUGACAGUACCAUCCCUGCCCAGGCUGUCUGCAUUUUCUCAGAGACUCUGACCUGCGCUGUCAAAUACAGGAGCCACUAGGCACGUGUGGUUGUGGCUGUUGAGCCCUUGAAAUGUGGCUAGUCCAAACUGAGAUGUGUGAAGUACGUCUCGAUACAAAAUACGGAAGUUUGAAGACUUAGCACAAAACAUACAUGUGAAACAUCUCAUUAAUAAUUUUACAUUGAUUACAUGCUGAAAUGAUAAUAUUUUGGAGAUAGUAGGUUAAAUAAAAUAUUAACAUUAAUGUCACCUGUUUCUUUUCACUCUUUUUUAAUGUGACAGCUAGAGAAUUUAGAAUGAUGUGUGGCUUGCAUUAUAUCUCUAUUGGACAGGCUGCUCUGGAAAGUGAAAUGCCUUCAAGGUCUGAUUAAAUUAAUUCACAAUUAAAAUUUCGACUCCCC
rnacentral:lncRNA from 1 species